AGUGUGUCAGAUUUUCAGGUGCCCUAAGCCUUAAAGCUUCUACCUAUUAUCUACUUUGAUCUGGAUCAGAGUGGGAUAAUGGAAUCUUUUCUUCUCAAAACACACAGCAUCGGGGUGGAUAACGAUCCCUGAUGGAUGUUCAUCUUCCCAACAUGCCUGGACUGUGGGCAGGAUCAUUCAAACAGUGGAGUGACAGGGAGGUGAGGAUUGUCCGGGAAGCCACUCAUGCUAACCUCACUAAUAUAAACAAGUUUUCAAGACCCCCACGUUCAGGGACCUGGAAGAGAAGCCACGUAUGAAACUGUUCCAAAUGAGGCAAAAAGGUGAGCUGUUUCUAAGCCUAUACUGAGAGAGAAACUUAAAUGGAAGAAAAAAUAGUCCAGAGGCUUUAAAUGUGUAAAUGAGUGAGUCGUAUAAUAGUGGAUGUUGAGACAACCUAACAGAGUUAAUACUUUGAGGGAAAGAGGCGAAAAACAGAGCCGAAAAUGAUUGGAGUCAAAUAAUUGUCACCAUUAGUUCAAAUAUUUAUAUUUUAAUACGUGGUUAAGAUACUCAGGGGAGGGAAUCCAGGUGCUUCUGUACUACCUACUUUUUGGUUGUUCUUUUCCCUUGACUCUGUUACAACUACUUUUUCUUCUCACUUAACUGUUCUGCAUUUUUUCCUACCUUCACUCUCUCUCAUGGGACUUAGCUAACAGCCUCAAGAAUGCUUUCUCUCUAUGAAAUGUGUCUUCUAAUUUUAAUUUGUUUGUGUUCUUUGUGUUAAUAAGUCACUUAUAUCAUUAAUGGUGAUAAUUUACAUCGAACAUUCUAAAUGAGAUGUAUGUGAGUUAUUAGCUGGAAUCUUUUGACUGUAUUGUGGCAAAGGAUGGUGAAAACCUGUAUUUAGAAAGAUUUUAUAGUAAGGGACCUUCAUUUUUAAUGAUUAAUGAAAGAGAAAAAAUAAUAUCCUGAUCCCUCCACAGGAAUUUACAUUUAAUUGGUAAAAACUUACAUCAAAUAAUAUCUUCAAACCCCACUGAUGUUUGUGUUUAAAGUACAGUGAAGGAUUUAGAAUGUCCCCACUCAACUCUCCUAUAAAUAAGUGUGUGGCAGGUUUUGGUCAUGAUUGUAAUAGAGAUAGAGAUAUAACUCUUUUGUUUGACAUAUGUAGUAUUGCCAUGUGCUAAAAUAUGAAAUGAGAUCUGGAGAUAUCUUCUGACUAACAAAUGGUUUCUGAAAUUUUAAUGGUAAGAUAUAAAUUAUGUUGUAACAGAAUUUUUAAGAGAGCAGAUAACUUCUAAUAUUUAAUCAUAUAAUAUUUUGCUUCAAAAAUAGGAUAAACAGAUUAAUUGAUUUCAUGAGCAAAUGAAUCCUAGUCAAAUGUGCGUGGUUUACACAGAACCAUCCAGGGUGGUCCAGGAGAUGAGAAUUUUCUCCUCUGUAAGCAUUCUUUUCUGCCAUGCUUGCCUGUACAUGGACAUUUGUAGAAACAUUUUUGUUUUGACUUACCUAUUUGCUUAAAAUUUUCUAUUGUAUUUAUUUUUGGAAGUAGAAUGUUAAUGUUAUACAAAUAAUCUAAUAAUUUUGGCAAACAUACAAUCAAAGUAGGGGGAUAGUAUAGAGUUAAAGCAUGGCUGCAAGAAUACAAUUCAAAAAGUGGUAUUUUAUCUCCUUAUUAAUAUUCAUCAUUUAACACUGAUUAAAUGUAAACACAAUUAGUCCCACAAUUUGUAAUAUCUAAUUUUGCUUUUUAGUACUAUAAAUGUGGAGGAGUUUCACUCUUUUGUUUAAUGUUAUUCAUUUACAAAAUAAAAAUUUAAAUUAAUAGUCUGG
rnacentral:lncRNA from 1 species